CUGUGGGACAAUGGGGAGAACUCUGGGCUGCUCAGGCAGGGUGGGGGCGGUGAGGACAGAAGCAGCCAGCCAGCUUCAGCUGAGCCCCAGCCAGCCGGUCUGCUCGGAGACUCCACAGAAUUCAGAAGGUAUCCUCUGCUGAAUUCUUCAUCCACCUAACUCCAAAAGGAAGGGGCAAGUUUGUUCUUAGGUGUUAAUCAAGAGCAGAUAUAGACCUAGAUUCUGAACGAGACCCUGUGUCUCAACCUUAAAUCUGAACCUGUAAAGUAAGAAGACAAAAUGAUGCGCCAUUCUCAAGAAGUCGAGAAUAAAAUAGCACAUGAGAUAAGGAAGGGAAGUGAGAGACUUACAAGAAACUUGACAAGAAGGGAAAAUUCUACCUCUGAAAAUAACUCCAAUCAGCAAUACAUCUCCUAGCACUUACAGAAGUCCCUGAUUAAUUUAAGUUUGGAGCCCUGAAAGCUGUAUUUCUAAUACAAAUUAAAGAACUGAGCUUGGCUGAACUGAUAAAAAGAAAAAAAAAAGUUUGUUGUUUUGGGAUUCCCCAUUUGCCCAGGUGUCAAAAGUUACUUCAAUCCUCUGCAUUGUUUUUUUCUAGAAAUACCCAGACCAAUACUUCCCUCUACUGCUUGAAAGCAAUUCUACAACAGGAGUCGACCAGAAUUAUUUAUACAAAAUAGUGUGCCUGUUUCACAGGUGUAGAAACUGAGGCAUAAGUAUUAAGCUGACUUUUGCAAAGUAAAGUCAAAAGAAAAGUUUAGAUUAUUCAAAACUCUCACCUCUGUGGAACACCUCUUUGUAAGUGUAGGCAAAUUUACCUUUCUGAAUGUAAAUCUUAACCAAAUGACUCUAUUAAACAAAGAUAGCAAAAAUAAAUCUUUGAAAUAGAUUUAAGAAAAGAUUAGA
rnacentral:lncRNA from 1 species